rnacentral:rRNA from 1 species
GAUCCUGGAAUCAGGAUGAAUGCUGGCGGCGUGCCUAACACAUGCAAGUCGAGCGGUAACAGGUCUAGUUUACUAGAUGCUGACGAGCGGCGAACGGCUGAGUAACGCGUGGGAACAUGCCCCAAAGUGAGGAAUAACUGCCCGAAAGGGUAGCUAAUGCCGCAUAUGAUCUUCGGAUUAAAGGAUUUAUCCGCUUUGGGAGUGGCCUGCGUACGAUUAGAUAGUUGGUGAGGUAAUGGCUUACCAAGUCUACGAUCGUUAGCUGGUCUGAGAGGAUGACCAGCCAGACUGGAACUGAGACACGGUCCAGACUCCUACGGGAGGCAGCAGUGAGGAAUCUUCCACAAUGGGCGAAAGCCUGAUGGAGCAACGCCGCGUGCAGGAUGAAGGCCUUCGGGUCGUAAACUGCUUUUAUAAGUGAAGAAUAUGACGGUAACUUAUGAAUAAGCACCGGCUAACUACGUGCCAGCAGCCGCGGUCAUACGUAGGGUGCAAGCAUUAUCCGGAGUGACUGGGCGUAAAGAGUUGCGUAGGUGGUUCGUAAAGUGAAUAGUGAAAUCUGGUGGCUCAACCAUUCAGGCUAUUAUUCAAACUCACGGACUCGAGAGUGGUAGAGGUAACUGGAAUUUCUAGUGUAGGAGUGAAAUCCGUAGAUAUUAGAAGGAACACCAAUGGCGUAGGCAGGUUACUGGACCAUUUCUGACACUGAGGCACGAAAGCGUGGGGAGCGAACCGGAUUAGAUACCCGGGUAGUCCACGCCGUUAAACUAUGGAUACU